UACGUAGGGGGCUAGCGUUGUCCGGAUUUAUUGGGCGUAAAGAGCUCGUAGGUGGUUUGUCGCGUUGUUCGUGAAAACUCACAGCUUAACUGUGGGCGUGCGGGCGAUACGGGCGGACUGGAGGCCAGUAGGGGGAUGCGGAAUUCCGGGUGUAGUGGUGGAAUGCGUAGAGAUCCGGAGGAACACCAGCGGCGAAGGCGGCAUCCUGGACUGGUCCUGACACUCAGGAGCGAAAGCGUGGGGAGCGAUCCGG
rnacentral:rRNA from 1 species